UACGGAGGGUGCAAGCGUUGUCCGGAAUCACUGGGCGUAAAGGGCGCGUAGGCGGCUCAUGAAGGCUGUGGUGAAAGUCCGGGGCUCAACCUCGGAUCGGCCGUGGCGACUCGUGGGCUGGAGCACUGUAGAGGCGGGUGGAAUUCCGGGUGUAGCGGUGGAAUGCGUAGAGAUCCGGAAGAACACCAGUGGCGAAGGCGGCCCGCUGGGCAGUGGCUGACGCUGAGGCGCGACAGCGUGGGGAGCAAACGAGGAACAUUGAU
rnacentral:rRNA from 1 species